UUGUCUGUGCAUUUUUUUUUUUUUUAAAUCCCAAUAAGUCACUUUGUUUUAGGUGUAUCUUCUCUCAGUGACCUAUGUUUAGUUUUUGCUUCUUAGUUGAAACAGACUCUGUGUUUUAAUAGACACGUUAAAUGAUUAUUUUAUAAUGAGAUUCAGCUUCACAAAAUGCUCUCAUAUUCACAUUUGCUCUUCUCAAUGGAUAAAGUAAAUGCAAAAUGUCAUUCCUACUUUACAUGUAAGAAAAUGCAAAACCAAACAGGUUUAAUAUAUUUCCCAACGUUAUUCAGUUGGGAAAGUAAGUGGCAGUGUAAGACUUAACAAAGGGAUAAUAAUACUAAAAUUAUUGCCUUUUUCCAAAUAGUUAAUAUAUCAUUGCUGAACAUCAUAUUCAGAUGGACUAUUUGAUCAAAUUAUCUGCCUUUUUUCCAGAAGAGAAAUUUAUACUAUUUAUUUGUAUUGACAUAAAGGAUAUGUUUGGCUCUAUCUCUGUGAACUUACUUCAUGCCCUGUGUAGUUUAUUCUUUACUGUUAAUUUCUUUGCUUCAUAUACUGAUGAUUUAGACUUCAUAUUCUUUUAUCUCUCUAUUGAUUUGGAAGCCAUGCAUCCCAUUUAUUUCUAAUAGUGAUACCUGGCAUACUGAAAAGAAUAUUAAUAUUGUUGAGUGAAUAAGUAAACCUUAAAACUUUUGAAUACUUGAAAUGGUUGAGUCUACCCCUAGAAGAAAUGAGGAUUUAUUACAAUUUUAUUUCUUGACUCUGGAAAUAUGAUAUUGGAUUUUAUAAUUACUUAGUAUUAUAUAUUAAAAUACUAAAUACUUACCAAAGCACUAUUUUAUACUACACAUUUUGUCUUUGAAGAGUAUAGUUUUACAUUUACAUUCAGUGUUAUAAAGUUACAAUUUCUUAAAUCUUAUUUUUAAUUUGUUUCAUUAUUCAUGGUCAAUUAUUUAACAUCAUUUAUUUCUCUUGAAUCCUUAAAUUUGACUUCUCUCUCAGUAACCUGGACCAUUGCUUUGUAAAUAGUGCAUGUAAGAAUCUCUGAGAAAAACUGUUAACACAGAGGUAGCAGCAUUCCAGUCAUAGAAAUUUUGGUCAGAAAAUUUGAGGAAGAUCUGAAAAUCUGUACUUCUAACUAGUUUCCAGAUAAUGCUGAUGUUACUGGACACUGAACCUCACCUAGAGCAGCCUAUAUGCCUGACCUGGCUUAUAUCCUCACGCCACUUCCCUAGUCAAAAGGUUUUAUGUUUCCUUUUUUUCUUGCAUAUUUCAGAGUUUCUUUCUGCUACUUUUACAAGUGAAAGACAACAUGAUUAUAUUUACCUUUCUUGGGUAUAUUCUAUCAAACUGUUCCAAGCAAAUUUUUUGUAGAUUUUAUAGCAAUAGCACUUAUUACAUAAUGUGACAUUUUUCCAAAAGCCAGCCUGAUUUUUGCUUCUUUGUAAACUGUUUUAUUUGCCUUGUUUAAGCCUAUGAUCUCUGUCUCUGUACUUAUCUAUUUCAUUAACUUAAUUUUUAUUGUUCUUUUCUUCAUUUCUUCCUCAUGACAGAACUUAUCAAUUUUUCUUCAGUAUCAGUGAUUUUUUUUGGUUCUUUUUAAAUAUUUGUACUGAAAUAUAGUUCAUCUAUUAAUUUCUGCUGUACAGCAAAGUGACUCAGUUAUAUAUUAUUUUUCAUAUUUUUUCUAUUAUGGUUAUCACAGCAUACUGAAUACAGUUAGUUCCUUGUGCUAUACAGUAGGACCUUGUUGUUUAUCCAUUCUAUAUAUAUUAGUUUGUAUCUGCUAAUCCAAAACUCCCCAUCCAUCCCGCUCCCAUCUGACCCCACUUUGGCAACCACAAGUUUGUUCUCUAUGUCGGUGAAUCUGUUUCUGUUUCAUAGAUAUGUUUAUUUGUGUUGUAUUUUAACUUUCACACAUAAGUGGUCAUAUUUAAAAAUAUGCAUUACUCUAUAUAAAAGUUAACAAGGAUUUACUGUACAGCACAGGAAAAUCUACUCAAUAUUCUGUAAUAAUCACUAUGGGAAAACAAUCUGAAAAAGAAUGGCUGUAUGUAUACAUAUAUCUGAAUCACUUUGCUGUACACUUGAAAUUAGCACAGCAUUGUAAGUCAACUACACUCUAAUAAGUUUUUUUAAAGUGAUAUCAUAUGGUAUUUGUCUUUCUCUUUUUGACUUAGUUUGCUUAGUAUGAUACUCUCUAGGGCCAUCAAUGUUGCUGCAAAUGGCAUUAUGUCAUUCUUUUUAUAGCUGAGUAAUAUUCCAUUGUAUAUAUAUUCCACAUCUUUAUCCAUCCUUCUGUUGAUGGACAUUUAGGUUGUUUCCAUGUCUUGGCUACUGUAAAUAGUGAUGCUAUGAAUAUGUGAUAUAUACAUACAUAUAUGUAUAUAUAUUUAAAUGUCAAUUUUUUUCAGUUUCUAAUGUAGAUUUUAUUUAUUAUGUCAUUCUGGUUUCUUUAUCACAUUUUCUUGACUAACCUGUCUUCUUUCUCAAACUAUCUGCUGUCUUUUAGUCUAAGCUUAUUCUCUCAUUUCUUUCCAUUUCUUAAAGUUAUCGAGGAUGCUGAACUGUUAAACUUCUUUCAUAUUCCUGUGGAAAAUUAUCUUGGCAUAUCAAUUGUCACUCCAAGUCUCUGAGACACUGUUCCUUUUCUCUGGU
rnacentral:lncRNA from 1 species